rnacentral:rRNA from 1 species
UACGGAGGGAGCUAGCGUUAUUCGGAAUUACUGGGCGUAAAGCGUACGUAGGCGGCUUUGCAAGUUAGAGGUGAAAGCCUGGAGCUCAACUCCAGAACUGCCUUUAAAACUGCAUCGCUUGAAUCCAGGAGAGGUGAGUGGAAUUCCGAGUGUAGAGGUGAAAUUCGUAGAUAUUCGGAAGAACACCAGUGGCGAAGGCGACUCACUGGACAGGUAUUGACGCUGAGGUGCGAAAGCGUGGGGAGCAAACAGG